rnacentral:tmRNA from 9 species
GGGGGUGAAAUUGGAUUCGAGGAAGAACAAAUAAUCAUGCGCUCAGGCAGAGGAUGUACGGUUAACCUCUUUAAUCAUCCGCACAACCAAUAAGUGCAAACUUAUUUUCUAAAGUUCGUGUCGCGCUUGGUCUAGAACCUGGUGGCGGCACUGGACUUGCUUUCGCAUUAGCGUAAGCCAUCCGUCUCUGAUUCUCGCUAAGAGAUCGCGGGUGUUAUAAGCGGGGCGGUGUUGAUAAAAGCUCUGCAUCAACGCAAGUAAACAGGGGCAAAAUCUAAGCUUGUCAAACGCAGAUUACGAGUUCUUCUGACGUGGGUUCAACUCCCACCACUUCCAAAU